rnacentral:lncRNA from 1 species
UUUGACAUUCAAGAGUUCCAUUUAUUUUCUCAGGACUUCAAUACUUAAUACCAAAAAACCACUCCCAAAAUUAAAGAAGGAAAAAAGAAAUCUCACAGAUGAACACCAGCUAUGCCAGUUAGAGAUCAACAUUGCUCAGAAACAGGAUCCAGGACAUUAAAGAUAUAAAAAAGAAGCAGCCAAAUGAAUCCCAUGGGCUUUCUGGAGACAUGCAGAUGAAAGCUAUUUUUCAGUAUCGUGGUUUUGCUCUUCAACUACUUAGAUAACACAGCGAAUGCAAAAACACAGAAACGUGAGUGUGUUAAAACAUGGUGCUGCAGCUCGCAGGCAGCAAACCACACAAAGCAAAGGUCAUAAGGAAUAAUCAGACCUCCUGUUAUCAGCAGAGCUACGUUUGAUUUGGAAAACUGUCCAGACUGGCUUCAGCUCAGGCCAACGGAGCAUCCACCUCUUGCUUCCAGCAGAGAAAGGAAGAACCACAGUGACUACGGAGCUGAACAACUUAAAUGCAUACCUAGAAAGGGUGUAACUGGUGCUAUGCUAUGAAACUAAAAUAGUCAGAGCAUAUUUAAAUAUAGUUAGCAGUAUUUCCCAUUCCCUCCAUGUGGAACUCAGAAUAUCUACAUACAGAAUUCACCUGCUUUGUCCCCCCCCAGUCUCUCCAUAGCUGAAGAGAUUAGAAAGUGCAGUCAAAGCAGGGGGCAGGGGAAGGAGAAUGGCAAGAAUCUUUAUCCUUGCCCCACAAACUCCACUAGGCAGCCUUCAAUAAAUUCGGAUGGCCCGAGUUCAGAAACAAACAGCACUGUCAGUUUAGCUAAACUCGUUAGCAAGUCUUGGGACACUCAGUGGGCUUUUCUUCCUUCCUUUUUGGAGAAUAGGGAGAAAGAACAAAUCCUGGAAUUCUAACAAAGUGAUAGUGCUUCUGCAGCGCGUCCAGAACCAACACAGUAUUCCUGACUUUAAUACACCCGUAAAAUCCGAGUGCUUUCAGAAGUUCUUCAAAAGCCAGGCUGUACUGGCAGAAGCUUUGGACUCGCUCCCACAAGUAAUUCCUGGCAUGCAAGUAACUACUUGUCAGCCCAAUGAAACUAUUCACGAAUACAGAAACUCGCAGCAUUGAGCCCCUACCAUGACUUUUGGGGAGUCACAAGCUGGGGCUAGUUUGGCCUUUAACAUAACGAUGUGUAUGCCCACACCGAAUACCGUGAUGCAGCAGUAACAGAUCUUACCAAAAGCCUGGAGUGGUUGUUGAAAGCAAUCAAGCUAAAAUUAUAAGGGGUUCCACAGAGGCAAUUUGCUAAAAUUCAAAGCUUCAUGGUACUGUGACACUGAGUGUCUGAAUUAUUUCUGCGCUGUACCUUAGGGGCAGAUAAAGAAUCACAGGCUGGUUUGGGUUGGAAAGGACCUUAACAUCAUCCAGUUCCAACUCCCUGCCACGCGCAGGGAUGCCUCACACUAGAGCAGGUUGCUCCAAGCCCCUGUGUCCAACCUGGCCUUGAACACUGCCAGGGAUGGGGCAGCCACAGCUUCUCUGGGCACCCUGUGCCAGCGCCUCAGCACCCUCACAGGGAAGAGCUUCUGCCUUAGAUCUAACCUGAACUUCCCCUGUUCCAGUUUGAACCCACCACCCCUUGUCCUGUCGCUCCAGUCCCUGAUGAAGAUAUAAUCGAAGAAGUGAUUCUAAACCAGCAUGUUUCUGGAUGAGACAAGUACUAAGCAUAAAGUAUUCCACCCAGUGAUGUUUGGUACAUCUCCGACAC